AUUGAACGCUGGCGGCAGGCCUAACACAUGCAAGUCGAGCGGAUGAAGGGAGCUUGCUCCUGGAUUCAGCGGCGGACGGGUGAGUAAUGCCUAGGAAUCUGCCUGGUAGUGGGGGAUAACGUCCGGAAACGGGCGCUAAUACCGCAUACGUCCUGAGGGAGAAAGUGGGGGAUCUUCGGACCUCACGCUCUCAGAUGAGCCUAGGUCGGAUUAGCUAGUUGGUGGGGUAAAGGCCUACCAAGGCGACGAUCCGUAACUGGUCUGAGAGGCUGAUCAGUCACACGAGAGAUGAGACAAGGUCAAGACUACUACGGGAGGCACCAGUGGGGAAUAGUGGACAAUGGGCGAGAGGUGGAACCAGCUAUAACGCGUGGGUGAAGAAGGUCUUCGAAUUGUAAAGACCUUUUGUCGUGAAAGAAAAGCAGCAGGUUAAUACCCCGCUGUUCUGACGGGACCUAAAGAACAAGAACCGGCGAAUUUCAUG
rnacentral:rRNA from 1 species